UAAACUGAAGAGUUUGAUCCUGGCUCAGAAUGAACGCUGGCGGCAGGCCUAACACAUGCAAGUCGAACGGUAACAGAAGAAAAGCUUGCUUUUCUUGCUGACGAGUGGCGGACGGGUGAGUAACGCGUGGGAAUCUACCCUUUAGUUGGGGACAACAUAUGGAAACGUAUGCUAAUACCGAAUACGAUCUACGGAUUAAAGGUGGCCUCUAUUUAUAAGCUAUCGCUAAAGGAUGAGCCCGCGUUAGAUUAGCUAGUUGGUAGGGUAAAGGCCUACCAAGGCGACGAUCUAUAGCUGGUUUGAGAGGAUGAUCAGCCACACUGGGACUGAGACACGGCCCAGACUCCUACGGGAGGCAGCAGUGGGGAAUAUUGCACAAUGAGGGAAACCUUGAUGCAGCCAUGCCGCGUGUGUGAAGAAGGCCCGAGGGUUGUAAAGCACUUUCAAUUGUGAGGAAGAUUAAGUAACUAAUACUUGCUUAGUUUGACGUUAACUUUAGAAGAAGCACCGGCUAACUCUGUGCCAGCAGCCGCGGUAAUACAGAGGGUGCAAGCGUUAUUCGGAAUUACUGGGCGUAAAGCGCGCGUAGGCGGACUGUUAAGUCGGUUGUGAAAGCCCUGGGCUCAACCUAGGAACUGCAUCCGAUACUGGCAAUCUAGAGUUUAAGAGAGGGAAGUGGAAUUCCAGGUGUAGCAGUGAAAUGCGUAGAUAUCUGGAGGAACAUCAGUGGCGAAGGCGACUUCCUGGCUUAAAACUGACGCUGAGGUGCGAAAGCUUGGGUAGCGAACGGGAUUAGAUACCCCGGUAGUCCAAGCCGUAAACNNNNNNNNNNNUAAGUUGACCGCCUGGGGAGUACGGUCGCAAGAUUAAAACUCAAAGGAAUUGACGGGGGCCCGCACAAGCGGUGGAGCAUGUGGUUUAAUUCGAUGCAACGCGAAGAACCUUACCAUCCCUUGACAUCCUGCGAACUUUCUAGAGAUAGAUUGGUGCCUUCGGGAACGCAGAGACAGGUGCUGCAUGGCUGUCGUCAGCUCGUGUCGUGAGAUGUUGGGUUAAGUCCCGCAACGAGCGCAACCCUUAUCAUUAGUUGCUACCAUUCAGUUGAGAACUCUAAUGAGACUGCCGGUGAUAAACCGGAGGAAGGCGGGGACGACGUCAAGUCAUCAUGGCCCUUAUGGGAUGGGCUACACACGUGCUACAAUGGGGGGUACAAAGAGCAGCCAACUGGCGACAGUGCGCGAAUCUCAUAAAACCUCUCGUAGUCCGGAUCGGAGUCUGCAACUCGACUCCGUGAAGUCGGAAUCGCUAGUAAUCGUGAAUCAGAAUGUCACGGUGAAUACGUUCCCGGGCCUUGUACACACCGCCCGUCACACCAUGGGAGUGGGUUGCAAAAGAAGUGGGUAGUCUAACCUUCGGGAGGGCGCUCACCACUUUGUGAUUCAUGACUGGGGUGAAGUCGUAACAAGGUAGCCCUAGCGGAAGCUGGGGCUGGAUCACCUCCUUUAAGAC
rnacentral:rRNA from 1 species